rnacentral:misc_RNA from 1 species
AGUCGUAACAAGGUUUCCGUAGGUGAACCUGCGGAAGGAUCACUAGAGAUAUCGCCCUUCGGGGCUCUCAUCCCUUCUAUCACACCCCUGUGCACUUUGGCCACCGCUUCAUUGCGGUGUGUCUUUUUACUAUACCAUACCUAUAAACACAAGUCAUUGAAUGUAAAAACUUAUAAACUAAAAUAACUUUCAACAACGGAUCUCUAGGUUCUCGCAUCGAUGAAGAACGCAGCGAAUUGCGAUAAGUAAUGUGAAUUGCAGAAUUCAGUGAAUCAUCGAAUCUUUGAACGCAUCUUGCGCUCUUUGGUAUUCCGAAGAGCAUGCCUGUUUGAGUGUCAUGAAACUCUCACCUCCAGCCCUUUUUAAUUAGAGGUGCUGGGGCGUGGAUGUGAGUGCUGCUGGUGCCCUGGCUGCAUCGGCUCACUUGAAAAACAUUAGCUGAAUCCACUAAAGUUGGUUCUACUCGACGUGAUAAGAUCUCCGUCGAGGACAGUACUGUAAUGGUGCUGGCCAACGAUAGUGUUGAAUCGCUUCUAAUUAGCGCAGACUUCGAGUGCUGGCAACUUUUGACAACUUGGCCUCAAAUCAGGUAGGACUACCCACUGAACUUAAGCAUAUCAAUAAGUGGAGGA